ensembl:lncRNA AFG3L1P AFG3 like matrix AAA peptidase subunit 1, pseudogene
CUCCCAUUGCGCAUGCGCGCGCCCGGGCGGCGCGGGAUCUGGGUCUGGGGAUGUGGUACCGGCUGCUGGCGGCGGCCGGCAGUAGAGCGGUGGCCAGGCCGCUGGCCUUGCUGUGGCGAUGUGGUGGCCCAGGAGGCGGCAGGACGGCCAAGACCAGCGCGAGGGCCCUGGGCAAGGCCCGACAGGGUUUGAGAAAUACUUUAAGAGGAGUGGAAGGAACACAAACUGAGAAACAUCAACAGCACCAAAAAAAGAGACUGGUGAACUAGAGAAUGCUGAGUCUGGAGGAGACGGAGGCAGGAGAGGAGGGAAGCAGGAUAACGUUGCCUGGUGGAGGCGGAUGCAGAAGGGGGGACUUCCCCUGGGAUGACGAGGAUUUCCGCAGUCUGGCCCUUUUGGGGGCAGGCGUUGCCAUGGGAUUUUUCUACCUCUAUUUUCGAGAUCCUGGAAGAGAAAUCACGUGGAAGCACUUUGUACAGUAUUACCUGGCCAGAGGUCUGGUGGACCGGCUGGAAGUCGUGAACAAACAAUCUGUGCGUGUUAUUCCUGCCCCUGGGACCUCUUCUGAAGGAGCCAUGCUCACUGGUCCUCCUGGUACCGGCAAGACCCUUCUUGCCAAAGCAACUGCAGGGGAGGCCACUGUGCCCUUCAUCACUGUGAACGGGUCUGAGUUCCUGGAAAUGUUUAUUGGCGUUGGGCCAGCAAGGGGUUCAACUCUGCCACCAACGUCGUGGUGUUGGCUGGCACCAACCGCCCUGACGUCCUGGACCCGGCCCUCAUGCGGCCUGGCCGGUUUCAUCGCCAGAUUUACACUGGUCCCCCUUACAUUAAAGGCAGGUCCUCCAUCUUUAAGGUCCACCUGCGCCCACUGAAGCUGGACAAGAGCCUCAAUAAGGACACCCUGGCGAGGAAGCUGGCAGUGCUCACCCCAGGCUUCCCUGACGGGGAUGACUCAGCACUACCCCUCAACAGAGAUGACUUUGAUGACUCUGCCCCUCAGCAGGGCUUACUAAGCACUACCCCUUAACAGGGAUGACUCCGCACUGCCCCUCAACAGGGAUGACUCAGCAGAGAUGACUCAGCACUGUCCCUUAGCAGGGAUGACACAGCAAGGAUGACUCAGCACUGCCCCUCAGCAAGGAUGACUCAGCACUGCCGCUCAACAGACAUGACUCAGGGAUGGCUUAGUACUGCCCCUCAGCAGGGAUGACUCAGCACCGCCUCUCAACAGGGAUGACUCAGCAGGGAUGACUCAGCACCGCCCCUCAACAGGCAUGACUCUGCAGAGAUGACUCAGCACUGUCCCUUAGCAGGGAUGACACAGCAAGGAUGACUCAGCACUGCCCCUCAGCAAGGAUGACUCAGCACUGCCGCUCAACAGGGAUGACUCAGGGAUGGCUUAGUACUGCCCCUCAACAGGGAUGACUCAGCAGGGAUGACUCAGCACCGCCCCUCAACAGGCAUGACUCUGCAGAGAUGACUUAGUACUGCCCCUCAGCAGGGAUGACUCAGUACUGCCCCUCAGCAGGGAUGACUCAGCACUGCCCCUCAACAGGGAUGACUCAGCAGGGAUGACUCAGCACUGUCCCUUAGCAGUGAUGACACAGCAAGGAUGACUCAGCACUGCCCCUCAGCAAGGAUGACUCAGCACUGCCGCUCAACAGACAUGACUCAGGGAUGGCUUAGUACUGCCCCUCAGCAGGGAUGACUCAGCACCGCCCCUCAACAGGGAUGACUCAGCACUGCCCCUCAACAGGGAUGACUCAGCAGGGAUGACUCAGCAGUGUCCCUUAGCAGCGAUGACACAGCAAGGAUGACUCAGCACUGCCCCUCACCAAGGAUGACUCAGCACUGCCGCUCAACAGACAUGACUCAGGGAUGGCUUAGUACUGCCCCUCAGCAGGGAUGACUCAGCAGGGAUGACUCAGCACCACCCCUCAACAGGGAUGACUCAGCAGGGAUGACUCAGCACUGCCCCUCAACAGGGAUGACUGCAGGGAUGACUCAGCACUGCCCCUCAGCAGGGAUGACUCAGCACUGCCCCUCAGCAGGGAUGACUCAGCAGGGAUGACUCAGCACCGCCCCUCAACAGGCAUGACUCUGCAGAGAUGACUCAGCACUGCCCCUCAGCAGGGAUGGCUCAGCAGGGAUGACUCAGCAUUGCCCCUCAACAGGGAUGACUCAGCAGACUCAGCAGGGAUGACUCAGCACUGCCCCUCAACAGACAUGACUCAGCAGGGAUGACUCAGCACCGCCCCUCAGCAAGGAUGACUCAGCAGGGAUGAUUCAGCAGAGAUAACUCGGGGAUGACUCUGAUUGUCCUUCAGCAGGGAUGAGUCUGUUUUGCUCCGAUGGAAGCAUCUGUAGUGUCCAUCAGCAGGUGAAUGGCCAAAGUGGUAUAUACUGUAGUCACAUUCAGCUAUAAAAAGGAAUAAAGUAUCGAUGCAUGCCACAACAUGGGUGAACCUAGAAAAUACUGAUCUAAAUGCAAGAAGCCAGGCACAAAAGGCCACAUAGUAUAUGUUCCCAUUUAUGUGAAAUGUGCAGAAUAAUAAUAAAAAUGUAUAGAAUAGCAAAUCUGUAGGGACAGACAUGAGGUGAGUGGUUGCCAGAAGUGGAAAUGGGAGUUAACUAUAAAUUGCACAGGGUACCUUACAGAGAUGAUGGAAAUGUCCUAAAACUAGAUUAUGGCAAUAGUUGCACUACGUGAUCAGUUUAUUAAAAAUCGUUGAUGUGUGUGUGUAAAAUGGGUGGAUUUUAUGGUUUAUAAAUUAUACCUUAAUAAAGGUUAACAAAAAA